AUGAACAAUUAAUGGUCUUUUCUCUGCCAUGAGAAAUAAAAUGCAGAAACACAGGAGUAUAAAGCACAAAGAGUUCCUGGAAGAUGUGAGUUCCUAUGUAGGAAGAAGACAACAGGACUCUUGGCCAAUGCAGGGCAUGACUGAGCACACAAAUACUGGGAAACUGUCCCUGGUGUAGUGUUUGUGACGUCCUUGGACCUGGAACCAGCACAGGGAACUCGGAGAGCUCCAUCGCCUGCUGGAAUGAGCUGGGUGCUGCCAGACAGCUGCACACUGCCUGAGAGACAGAGAAACCUGCUGCUCCCAUAUUUCUACCCAUGUCUGCAUUCUCCUACUCCUCAACUUCUGCUCCACUAAUAAACUCAUUAAGUAUAGCAAUAUAAUCAGCAUCCAAUCUUCCCCAGGGGACGGAGAGAGAGAAGGAAAGGAUCCCACAUGACAAAUGUUCUCGCUCUGCUUAAUGUGCUAUAGGUGCAAUUAUUAGGGGAAGGAUUUUGAGACUUUGCUUAUCCGGAGAUCAUUCUUUGCUCACUGCCUGAGCUGUGUGAGACCUGGUUGCCUUCCUGUAGGAAAGAUGUUCUGCACAGAAAGUGCGCUCCUACACCUUUCCUGUCAUAUCCAGCUAACUAACCUCAUUUUGCAUUGGUCUUCAUAGCCUGCUCCCACAGCACAGCAGGUAUAAACACCGUUCAGAAAAAGAGAAGGACAGCUGACAGCUGAGUAGCAAUAGGUUUGAGACUACUUAGAAAAAUCAGGGAGGGCAGGGAAGAGGACCUGGAGAACAGACAGUCAGCCAUCCUCACCACAGCCCCUGGAGAACAUCGUCUCAGAGUCUCUCUUCGAAGACAGAAAGGACAAGGCUAGCAGAAGCAAUCAGCAGUUGAAGGGCAGAUCGUGCUCAACCCAGCUGACUUUCUUCCAUGAAGGAAGGGCCUGAAGGGAGAGUGGUGGCGGUGAAAUGCUUCAUUCAGACUUCCAACAUCAUCUCCCACAGCAGUCUCUUUUUUAAACUAAGGGAAUGCAGGUGGAACAGACAGACUGCUGGAGCUGGGCUGGAAGGGGCAGCAGCAGAGGACACAGUGGCCAUUGUGUCCUCAGCUCCCCUGCAGCCUGGGAAGGCUGCUUCCCCAAACACAAGGGAAAAACCUGUAUGCUUCCAGCUGUGUUGCCAAUCAGCUGCCUUGCUGAAGUGGAGAGGGCUCACACCGUUCUUGGAAAUAGCCUGCUUUGUGCCCUGGGUUUCGUGCUCAUGAGCCAAGCUGGCAGAUGUAGAUCUUGUAAGUUCAGGUGAUGAAGCAGACCCCAAGAGAUGCUGGGUUGUAGCAGGUUAAGAAUCAUUAAUCAUUUCUAUUACUUGUUUGAUUAGGUGAUUAAAAUCUCCCACUGAGCCUGUUUCCAGAGAGGCUAACUCUGAAAAAGAGGAUUCCUCUGAGAUAAAAGGUUUAUAUUGUGUUUUGUUUGGAGUUGUUUUGUUUUUGCCAUCCAAGGUGAACUUGAUUGCUCUUUUUCAUUAGCUUGCAUGCUUUCCUGAUUUAAUCCUGCUUUCUUUCCCCUACAGCUGCGUUGUGCUUUCUUCGCUUGUUUUGGCUCCUCGAAGAAGAUACAGUAAAUUUAAUAGCUCUGUGAGGCUUAUGUACUUUGCUAUUGUUUUGACUACAUUAUCACCACCGUUUAAUGAUAAUGUAUUCUCAGUAUUUUGCUUGCUAAACAUGCAACUGUUUUUAACUUGCAAUAACUGCAUAAGCUCAUUAAGCACUGCUUCCCCAUUACGUUACCGUAUUACUUUACAGGUUUCAAGUUUGUCAGUGAAAUAAGAAGUUUAAUUGCUCCUCGAUUUCAGGAAAGACGGUGCUUAACAUCUUGCAUUUGAUUCCUGCCUAAUGUUUUGCUGCUUCAAUCUCUGUCUAUAAAAGCUUUCUUGCAGUUAAAUUCCUUUUGUGCACAUAAAUUCUGCCACAUGGAAUAGCAGAAAUAAAAGUAAAUAUCUUUAGUGGAGUGUAACAUGAAGAACAAGGCAAAUUAAAGAAGAAAAUGAA